rnacentral:rRNA from 1 species
GGAAACGAAGUGGGAAGGCUUAGACAGCUAGGAUGUUGGCUUAGAAGCAGCCAUCAUUUAAAGAAAGCGUAAUAGCUCACUAGUCGAGUCGGCCUGCGCGGAAGAUGUAACGGGGCUGAAAUAUAGCACCGAAGCUGCGGCAUCAGGCGUAUCACUAAUACGCCUUACGAUUAACAACCUAGAAUGGCGCGAAGCGACAUGAAAGGUUGUUCAAGCAACCCGAACGUUGAGUCGGGCAUCUUAGAGUGAGGAUUAUUAGUGAUACGCCUGUUGGGUAGGGGAGCGUUGUGUAAGCGGAAGAAGGUUCAUCGAGAGGUGGGCUGGACGUAUCACAAGUGCGAAUGCUGACAUAAGUAACGAUAAAACGGGUGAAAAACCCGUUCGCCGGAAGACCAAGGGUUCCUGUCCAACGUUAAUCGGGGCAGGGUGAGUCGGCUCCUAAGGCGAGGCUGAAAAGCGUAGUCGAUGGGAAACAGGUUAAUAUUCCUGUACUUGGUAAAGCUGCGAUGUGGGGACGGAGUAGGUUAGGUUAUCGCACUGUUGGAUAUGUGCGUUUAAGUUGGUAGGUGGGAAGUUUAGGCAAAUCCGGACUUCCUUAACACAGAGAGAUGAUGACGAAGCUCUACGGAGCUGAAGUAACUGAUACCACACUUCCAGGAAAAGCCACUAAGCGAAAGGCUUUACUAAACCGUACUGAAAACCGACACAGGUGGUCAGGUAGAGAAUACUCAGGCGCUUGAGAGAACUCGGGUGAAGGAACUAGGCAAAAUAGCACCGUAACUUCGGGAGAAGGUGCGCCGGCGUAGAUUGUAAGGGCUAGCCCCUGAAGGUUGAACCGGUCGAAGAUACCAGCUGGCUGCAACUGUUUAUUAAAAACACAGCACUCUGCAAACACGAAAGUGGACGUAUAGGGUGUGAUGCCUGCCCGGUGCUGGAAGGUUAAUUGAUGGUGUAAUCGCAAGAGAAGCACCUGAUCGAAGCCCCAGUAAACGGCGGCCGUAACUAUAACGGUCCUAAGGUAGCGAAAUUCCUUGUCGGGUAAGUUCCGACCUGCACGAAUGGCAUAAUGAUGGCCAGGCUGUCUCCACCCGAGACUCAGUGAAAUUGAAAUCGCCGUGAAGAUGCGGUGUACCCGCGGCUAGACGGAAAGACCCCGUGAACCUUUACUAUAGCUUGACACUGAACAUUGAAUUUUGAUGUGUAGGAUAGGUGGGAGACUUAGAAGUAGUCACGCCAGUGAUUAUGGAGUCGUCCUUGAAAUACCACCCUUUAACGUUUGAUGUUCUAACGAAGAUGACGAAACGUGGUCUCGGACAGUGUCUGGUGGGUAGUUUGACUGGGGCGGUCUCCUCCCAAAGCGUAACGGAGGAGCACGAAGGUUUGCUAAUCACGGUCGGACAUCGUGAGGUUAGUGCAAUGGUAUAAGCAAGCUUAACUGCGAGACAGACAAGUCGAGCAGGUACGAAAGUAGGUCAUAGUGAUCCGGUGGUUCUGAAUGGAAGGGCCAUCGCUCAACGGAUAAAAGGUACUCCGGGGAUAACAGGCUGAUACCGCCCAAGAGUUCAUAUCGACGGCGGUGUUUGGCACCUCGAUGUCGGCUCAUCACAUCCUGGGGCUGAAGUAGGUCCCAAGGGUAUGGCUGUUCGCCAUUUAAAGUGGUACGCGAGCUGGGUUUAGAACGUCGUGAGACAGUUCGGUCCCUAUCUGCCGUGGGCGUUGGAUGAUUGAUUGGGGCUGCUCCUAGUACGAGAGGACCGGAGUGGACGCAUCACUGGUGUUCCAGUUGUCUCGCCAGAGGCAUUGCUGGGUAGCUAAAUGCGGAAGAGAUAAGUGCUGAAAGCAUCUAAGCACGAAACUUGCCAAGAGAUGAGUCAUCCCUGACUUUAAGUCAGUAAGGGUUGUUGUAGACUACGACGUAGAUAGGUCUAGUGUGUAAGUGU